rnacentral:misc_RNA from 1 species
UGGCACUUGUAACUCAUAUAGGUGCAAAGUUCUCAUCAAUAGAAACGAAUUAAGUUCAAAAAGCAGGUAAUUGCUAUAAAUUCUUAAAGAGUUCCCUCGACUAUCUUUCGUCUCCAUCAUCAGACUUUAAUGGCACUUGUAACUCAUAUAGGUGCAAAGUUCUCAUCAAUAGAAACGAAUUAAGUUCAAAAAGCAGGUAAUUGCUAUAAAUUGUUGAAGAGUUCCCUCGAC